UCCGGAAGUUGCGCGCCUUGAUAUCCGCUUUCGCCGGUGUGUUCUGUCUCUAUCUCGGCAGCAGCAAGAUGGAGGAAGGUGGUGUGGAGUGUCCUUUCUGUAUCCAUCGGCAUCCUCCAUCGUGAAGCCUCGGACGAAUUCGCCGAUGGCUGGAUGUGACUGCCGCAGCUCCUUCGAGUAAACCUUCACCAAGAUGUAAUUAAACGAGGUUGGAAUCUGAAACUGUGGUGUAAAUGUGAGCCCUUGCCUAAUACCAUCGCAGAUUGGAAUCUGAGAGUGAGAUGUAAAAAUGUUCUGUUGCCUGGCAUUAUCAGUGUUGCAGGUUGGAAUCUCAAUGAAAUGUGAAAGUGAUUUCUUGCCUGGCACCAUUGCAGUGUUGCAGGCUUUCCAGUCUUUGACCAUUAGUGAUACCAGGGCCUGAUAUUCUUAGAAUCCCUACAGUGCAAACAGGCCAUUCUGCCCAACAAGUCCACACCAAUCCUCUGCAGAGUAACCUAACCCCAUAAUCCUACAUUUCCUGUGGAUAACCCACCCAACCUGCACAUUCCUGAACACUAUCUGGUCAAUUUUAGCACAGCCAAUCCACCUAACCUGUACGUAUUUCGACUCUGAGGAAACCGGAGCAUCUGGAGGAAAUCCGUGCAGACAUGGGGAGAAUGUGCAAACUCCACACACAGUCUGGAACACGCCCAAAUAAAUUUGGACCCUUAGAUGAAA